CACCUUAAAACUAGUCCGAACUUAAAAGUCAAUAAACAACCAUAAAUAACCCCUCAUACAUCAAUACAACUAAAUAAAACAUUCUUCCCCCUUAGUAAGGGAGACAAAAAAGGAAAUAGGAACAAUAGAAAAAGUACCGCAAGGGAAAGUUGAAAGAGAAAUGAAAAAGCUCAAUUAAGUAGAACAAAGCAGAAAUUAAACUUCGUACCUUUUGCAUCAUGAUUUAGCUAGAAAUAUUUAAGCAAAGCGAGCUUAAGUUUAAAACCCCGAAACCAAGUGAGCUACUCCAAGGCAGCCUAUACAUAGGGCUAACCCGUAUCUGUGGCAAUAGAGUGGGAAGAACUUUGAGUAGAAGUGACAGACCUAACGAACUUGGUUAUAGCUGGUUGUUGGAGAAAAGAAUAGAAGUUCAGCCUAAUUUAUUAUCGACCCAAAACAGUAAAAGCUUACAAAGCUGAAGAUAAAGAAAUUAGAGUUAGUCAAAAGAGGUACAGCUCUUAUGACCUAAGAUACAACUUUAAAAGGAGGCUAAAGAUUAUAAUAACUUGAAGGUAAAUACCCCGGUGGGCCUAAUAGCAGCCACCCUAAAAGAAAGCGUUAAAGCUCAAGCAAGACUCCACCUUAUAUACUAAUAAUCACUCUUAAACCCCUGAAACUAUCCAACCACCCCAUUAAAAAUGGAAGUGAUUAUGCUAAUAUGAGUAAUAAGAGAACUAAGCUUCUCUCUCGACACAUGUGUAAAUCGGAACGAACACGCACCGAUAUCUAACGCCCCCAACCCCAGAGGGAAAUGUACUAAAAAUUAACAACAAGAAGACCCAUCAAACAACCCCAGCGUUAACCCUACACCGGUGUGUUAUAAGAGAAAGACUAAAAAGAGAAGAAGGAACUCGGCAAAACAAAGACAAGCCUCGCCUGUUUACCAAAAACAUCGCCUCUUGCAUAAAACUAAGUAUAAGAGGUCCCGCCUGCCCUGUGACUAUAAGUUUAACGGCCGCGGUAUUUUGACCGUGCGAAGGUAGCGCAAUCACUUGUCUUUUAAAUGAAGACCUGUAUGAAUGGCACGACGAGGGCUUAACUGUCUCCUUCCCUUAGUCAAUGAAAUUGAUCUACCCGUGCAGAAGCGGGCAUAAGACCAUAAGACGAGAAGACCCUAUGGAGCUUUCAGACGCACAAGAAGACCAUGUUAAUUAACCCCGCUAAGGGGGCAAACCAAGUGCAACCUACUUGAAUGUCUUUGGUUGGGGCGACCACGGGGAAAUAUAAAACCCCCACGAGGAAAGAGAAUAAAAUCUCAAAACUAAGAACCGCAGUUCUAAGUAUCAGAAUUUCUGCCCUUAAGAUCCGGUGAGCCGAUCAACGAACCAAGUUACCCUAGGGAUAACAGCGCAAUCCCCUUUUAGAGUCCCUAUCAACAAGGGGGUUUACGACCUCGAUGUUGGAUCAGGACAUCCUAAUGGUGCAGCCGCUAUUAAGGGUUCGUUUGUUCAACGAUUAAAGUCCUACGUGAUCUGAGUUCAGACCGGAGUAAUCCAGGUCAGUUUCUAUCUAUGAAGCGACCUUCUCCAGUACGAAAGGACCGAGAAGGAGGGGUCCAUCCCUAAGGGAAACCUCUCCCCCACCUGUUGAAGUUAUCUAAAACAGACAACGGGGAGCCCAAACCCAUAAACCCCAGAUAAUGGUAU
rnacentral:rRNA from 1 species